GGGGAAAUUUAAAGUAUUGCUAAUGCCUAUAUUUUGUUUUCAAUAAAUUUUUACUUGAGUGGCUUCAGCAUCAUGCCAUGGAGAGCCUAACCUUUGAGCAGGAUCACCAAAAAAUAAUCCUUACCUUUUUUUUUCUUUUUCUUUCUUUCUUUUUUUUUUUUUUACAAAUACUUAAUGAUUUGACUACAGAAGCAGAGGUCCAUAAAAAUAUGGACUAUUGUGAAUAUGUAUGAUGUGCUGGUGUGGCUGUUUUUGUAUACGUUUUUGCAGUGUAAUGGUCCCCCAAGUAUAGAGUAUAUUAUGAACAGUAUUCAGAAAUUAUAUAUGAAAAACUAAGUCUUGAAUAGUUUAAGUAAAUGGUUCAGUGUCACACAGUUAAUAAGUAGAAGAAUUGAGGUGUGAACUCAGUAUUUUAUUCUCAUUUCAACUUCAUAUUCUUUCCACUUGGCUAUGCUAUCUCAUAGUAUAUGAUAUAGUAUAGUAUUAUCAUAGUAUAAGUCUUAGUUUGUAUUCACUGUAAAAUUAUUAUAGUUAAGAUACUAUGCUACUUGCAGUAGGGGCGGGUCACCAAAGAAUAUGAGCUCACCCAGCCUUUACAAAGAUUUUGAAAUUCACAGUAAAGCACGCACACAUACACAUACACACACAUCCAAAAUACAAUAUAUAAUAAAAAAAAAUCUUCCAUAAUGAAAUGGAAUAUAUAUCAAAUCAGGACAAAUUUAGGUAGGUAUGACAUUAAAAAUACAUUUAUUUGGUCUCUGUAUCUGGACUCAACACAGAGUUCCUAAAACCUUUGAAAUUUCCUGAGUGAUGGGGUAGUAGAAGCAUCUUAAAUAAACUUCCUGUAUUGGAAUUUCAUGCCUGAUAGGAGCAUCUUUUGUUCUAAUGAGGUGACCCUUGGUGAGCUCCUGAAUAGCUUCAGGAUGGGGGCUGGUCACUAGAAAGAUCAAGUCAUAAUUUGAAGCUUGGAAUAUUUAGAUCCAUACCCCACCCCCAUCCUCUGAGAACUGAGUUAAUAAUGACUAUGUGAUGUUUCCAUUGUGGCUCAAUGGCAACAAACCUGACUAGUAUCCAUGAGGAUGCAGGUUUAAUCGCUGACCCCUGCUCAGUGGGUUAAGGAUCCGACAUUGCUGUGAGCUGUGGUAUAGGUCACAGAUGCAGCUGGAAUCUGGCGUUGCUGUGGCUGUGGAUUGGAUUCAACCCCUGGCCUGGGCACUUCCAUAUACAGCACCUGCGGCCCUAAAAAAAUAAUAGUAUUGGCUACAUGAAAAAUCUCUAAUUAUAGCAGUUAGGAAACUUCCGUUGGUGAAACCUGGAAAGAUGGCACACUCCUCCUCUGCAGUGACGGAAGUUCCUCCACUCAAAACCCUUCUUGACCUCACUGUAUAUAGCCCUUCAUUGGGUAUUUAACUGUAUUCUUUAAAUAUUUUAUACAAAAUCAAAAAACAUAGGUGAGUUUCCUAUUUCUUAAGUUUUGUGAGUCAUUAUGGCAAAUUAUUAAAUGUGAGGAGGAAUUGGUGGGAACCCCUGAUUUAUAGCCAAGUCAGCCAGAAGUGUGGUUACCAUGGGGACCUGCUAUUUGCCAUUGGCAUUUGAAGUGGAGGGCAGUUUUGUAGGAUUGAGCCCUUAACCUGUGGGGUCUGUGCCAGCUCCAAGUGGUUAAUGUUAGAAUUAAUUUAAAUAGUAGGAUACCCUGUUGACAGAGAAUCAAAGAAUUACUUCUGUGGAAAAUUCAUACAUUUUGUUUUAGAAUUAUUGUAAGAAGAAAAAAUAUUUUCUUUUAGUAGGAGUCUAAGUUUGACCUAUAACUUGAAAAAUAGGCAAGGUUUUAAUAAAACAGAGUACUGAAACUUAUGCACACAGGUCCAGACAUGGGAAAACUCUAGGCAUAUUUAGAUGAUAACAAAUUGAACAAGCAUUUAUGAUAUAGAGGAAUUGGGUGGAUGUAUAGGAAAUGAGUUAGGAAAAUAAGUGCUAUAGAAUAAGUUCUGGAUAAAGCAUUUCUUUUUUUUCUUUUCUUUNUUUGUCUUUUUGUCCUUUUUAGGGCCACACUCACAGCAUAUGGAGAUUCCCAGGCUAGGGGGUCUAAUCGGAGAUGUAGCUGCCAGCCUAUGCCAGAGCCGCAGCAACGCAAGAUCUGAGCCAUGUCUGCGACCUACACCACAGCUCACAGCUAUGCCAAAUCCUUAACCCACUGAGCGAGGCCAGGAUUCAAACCCACAACCUCAUGGUUCCUAGUCGGAUUAAUUUCCUCUGCGCCACAACAGGAAUUCCGAACAUUUCAAUUAAAUUCUUAAAAAUAUAAAAAGAGCUAGCAUAGACAAUU
rnacentral:lncRNA from 1 species